ACUUGGCUGGCUCAGUUGGUAGAGCAUGUGACUCUUAAUCUCACGGUCAUGAGUUUGAGACCCACAUUAGGUG
rnacentral:tRNA from 1 species